AUCACUUCUCGGCCUUUUGGCAAAGAUCAAGUGUAGUAUCUCUCCAUAUAUUGCUAUUUUAAAAGCUAAUCCUU
rnacentral:snRNA from 1 species